AUCAAUCCUUGUGCAUGUAUUAGGAUUUCUUCUCAAUUGAAAUCAACUAAUUUGAUCAAAACAUGUGUCUGCUUGAAAGACUUGGAUGUGCUGCGUCUUCUUGGUAUCAAUUGUUGGGAUCAGCAGAUUUAUUAACAAUUAAACGUCAUAUAACUAAUCCUGACAAUGUGAUGUAAUGAUAAUCAUGCAUAGUAGUGCAUACCAUUAUAAAGACAUUAAAAGGUUAUCCUUUUGCAUAUUGGUGUAGGAUGAUG
rnacentral:misc_RNA from 1 species